GUCUAUAGCGCAAACGCUCGCGCGUAAUUUGAAUUGUCGUGCACACGCGCAAACCAAAUAAAUAAAUCAAUAAAUAUGCACGAAAGAACUUUCUUUUAUUUUCUGAAGAUUCGCGACCAUUUAGGCCACCUAGGUACUUGUUAGUAAAAGUUGACGUGAACGUUUCCCUAGGCUGCACGGCUAUUCCCGCGCAAGAUAAGAACUGUCAGGCGUGGCUCACCAGUAGGGGAGCUGAGACCUUUGGGUGAGACUUGGUGACCUGGUGCAGAGAACAGAGAUGAAGACUGGAUUUGGAGAGGUUACUUGAUGCUUACAGAGGCUGACCACGAAAAUUGAAGUCUUGCUGAAGAGAGGUGUUGUGGACAGGAUACGUCAGCGGCCACAUUGAGCCCGUCGCAAGAACGUGUGGACCGUUUCCCAGACGUCAACACUCAGGCCUGAAAUAAGCGGCCACCAUGUGUAGCUGCAACUGGUCAGGCAUCGGUUGUGGCUUUAAAUGCACGGGCAACUGUUUGUGGUGACUUGCGUAUAAGAAUGAGUCGCUGGAUGCUGUACCCUUUCUCGAAAAGGUAAAAUGGUCUUGCUUAAGUGCAGUGUUGCUUGCUUAAACACAGCUUUGUCAUGCACACUAGUUGUUACCGCUUCAUAUUCUUUGGUAAAACUGAUAGCUUUUUUCAGCUAUUGGCAAAAUAAGGAACGAUGCGAGAUAACCGGCUCCAUAUUCUUUUAUGCAUAUUCUUUUGCGGAAAUCACACUGAACAUUUGUGUGUUCGACAAAACAGAAAAUAAUUGCACAAGAUCAAGAGGCAGACGUGACGUACCUUCUUUUCUGGGGCCAUUCCUCCUUGCUUAGCUUCCAGCGCUUUUGUUGGGAUGAGAAAAGAGAGAAAGCAACCGCAGUGUGCGACACAUCUUUAUAACUCGGCUCGUACUGGACAUAUUCUGGAAAUACUUGUGGUGGUCGUUUCAAAAGGCAUUAGGUUCCACUACUCAAUUCAUGCCACGGGCACUUGGAGAAGUCUUGUAGGGCCCCUUCAAGGGUGUUCUAUACUGCAUGCUUAUUGCAUGCGUUAAUGGCAUGCUAGCCGUCUAGCACUUCUGUGCUAGUAAUCCACUUUUUCAAUGGCCCUCUUGGACACACGCAUUACUUCACUAGUGUAUUAUAGCUCUCCACGAGACAGACUAGCGAGAAACAUGGCGUCGGAUAUCUUAUACCAAAGUCAACAUCACUUGAUAGUUUUUAAUAAAAGUACAUAGAUCUCACUCAGAAGAUGUUCAAAAGCCUGCAUUAACAAUCUUCACCACAUUCAGAUUUUUUUUUACAGAAGUGAGAAGACAUUCAAAAAGAGUUCUUAAAUUGCUUUUUUUAGAUCCAGUGGCACACAUAAUGACAAGUGGCUAGCUGCAGCAAUAUUGCAGAUAGUGGGCAUAGAAGUUUGUCCCUUGAAUUCUGAAAAAAA